CAAAAAGACUAUUCGAGUAAGUUCAAAAAAUUCUGAGGCUGGUGUAGUGAAAGGGAAAUUGAUCCCUAUUCUGCCUCUUUAACAGAAACCGCAGAUUUCUUACAAGUCUGUAUACCAGUGGUCUACAGUACAGUACGAUUGGGGCUAUGUUGUCAAGUGUUUUACCACCAGUCGAAAAACUACCAGUAGGUCAACACCCAUACAUUAUUCGCUUAUUGAAAGGUGUUUGCAGGCGUUCCAGUGAUAUGCAGGCCUUACGUUUGGGAGAUGGAAAUAUUUCUGUUCAUAACAGGGGAGUUUAUUUUAUUAGAGAAGGAUUGUCAAAACAAGACCGUCCUGGACAUUUUGUGCUAAGAUUCUUGUACCUGACUUUGAUGCAGAAUAGCUUCUUGACCCUAAAAGGGCAUGCACUUACUAUUUAAAGAGCACUAACAAUUUUCGUGGUGAGAACAGACAAGAUGCUAAAUUGUUUUAGCAAUUAGCAAUCCACAUUAGCCAAUUUCAAGUCAAACAAUUUCAUUAGGGAUUGUGAGUACCAUUCAGAUGGCAUAUAACGACAAAAAGAAAUCUGUUAAGGCUCAUUCGACAAGAGGUGCUGGUACUUCUUUGGCUCUUUAUAAAGGUGCAUCAAUGCAGAUCAUCAUGGAAGCUGCUGAUUGGAGCAGGGAAUCCACAUUCACCAAAUGUUACUUACGUCUCAUAGAUCCUCAUGUUUUAUCGAAAUGAAAAAAAAUUAAAAAAAAGUAGAAAAAUACAUUAAAUUCAAAAAAGGAGAAAAAUGUGUACAGUUUUUAACUUUUUAACUUAA
rnacentral:lncRNA from 1 species